UACGUAGGGGGGCAAGCGUUGUCCGGAUUUAUUGGGCGUAAAGAGCGUGUAGGCGGCCAAGCAGGUCCGCUGUGAAAACUCGAGGCUCAACCUCGAGACGUCGGUGGAAACCGUUUGGCUAGAGUCCGGAAGAGGAGAGUGGAAUUCCCGGUGUAGCGGUGAAAUGCGCAGAUAUCGGGAAGAACACCCGUGGCGAAGGCGGCUCUCUGGGACGGUACUGACGCUGAGACGCGAAAAGCGUGGGGGAGCGAAACAGG
rnacentral:rRNA from 1 species